AACAGCCCUCAUGCUUGCUGUGCACUAUGACCCGCCAGGUAUUGUCAACAUCCUUCUUAAGCAAAAUGUUAAGAGCUCUACUCAAGACUUGUGUGGAUGAGAGGCCGAAGACUACCCUCUUGUGGGUUGACAAAAUGGAGUCUCACUCCGUUGGCAGCCUGGAGUGCGGUGGUGUGAUCUCGGCUCACUGCAUCCUCCACCUCCCAGGUUCGAGCGAUUCUCCUGCCUCAACCUCCCACGUAGCUGGGACUACAGUUGUCCAUGAAGAGUUUCCAUGAAACACUUCAUAGUUUGCUGCAAAUAAACAGUUCUCGAAGCAGAGACUCUUAAUACCGAUAUGGUAAGACUUCACUGUCAUAAUUUUGUCAUUGUAGUUUAUCUAAACUAUUGACUUGGCCGGGCCCCAUGGCUCAAGCCUAUAAUCCCAGCGCUGUGGGAGGCCGAGGUGGGGGAUGACCUGAGGUCAGGAGUUCGAGAUCAGCCUGGCCAGGAUGGUGAAACCUUGACUCUAAAAGAAGAAAAGACACAAAAAUUAGCCGGGCAGGAUGGCGCAUGCUUGUAUUCCCAGCUGCUCAGGAGGCCGAGGCCGAGGCAGGAGAAUCGCUUGAACCCGGGACACGGAAGUUGCAGUGAGCCAAGAUCACACUGUUGCACUCCAGCCAGGGUGACAGUGCAAGACCACAUCUUAAAACAUAAAAUGACCACUCAAAGUCCAUCUAUCACAUUCUGAAAUUUUGGGUUUUGGAAGUUUUUAGGUUUCCUUGUUUAAAAAAUCAUUGGAAGCUCCUGCAUACCAUGGGCCACUGGAGGUCAGCGGACAUAUUUGUGUGUAUCCUGGAGUACCUAGAACACAGUCUUUCACGCAGGAAGCAUUUUAAUGGCUGUUUUUUGAGAGGGGGAUUCACUCUGUUAACGCAGGCUGGAGUGUGGUGGCGAGACCUUGGCUCACUCCUAUCUCCAUUUCCUGGGCACAGGUGAUCCUCACACUUCAGCCAUCCAAGUAGUUGGGACCACCGUAGACCUGUGUCACCAUGCUGGGCUGAUUUCUUUAGUUUCUGCAGAGACGGGGUUUUGCCUUGUUGCCCAGGCUGGUCUUGAACUGUUGGGAGCAAGUGUUCUGUCUGCCUCAGCCUCUCAAAGUGCUGGGGUUACAGGCGUGAGACACUCAGCCUUAAUCGUUUCAUCUGAAUAAAUAGACAAAUGAAGUUUUAUCUCAUGUAAUGUACCAAGUCAUAUGCCUCAUGUAUCUUAAUGAUUCAAUAUUUAAAAUAUUGCUUACCUUUGUAUUACAUUUUAAUAUUUAAGGAUGUGUAAGUUUUGAGGUGUUAUGUUGAGAAAUUAUGCCAUCCAUAAGAAGGAAAUAAAUUAAAAAUAGAUCAUCAGCAGCAAAGAGGAUUGCAGCGUAUUCCCUAGUAUCAUUCAGCUGGAAUCAUGAUGUUGUGAUUGCAGAUGAACAUUUCUUAUACUUUUUAUUAGCUCCAACACACGACACGUUCUAUGAAAUAUACCUUUUCAAGCCAUACAUUACUCUUUAGAAUUCUGGUGACCAAUAAAUAAACUAAUAUUUUUCUAGGUGGAAAGUUGAAAGUUCCAGGUUUUUCUCUCUCUCUUAUAAUAGUGUUCUUUCAGGUAGUGGUAGAUGACCAUGUUUAAG
rnacentral:lncRNA from 10 species